ACGUGCGUGCCCAACUUGAGCUCGCUGCCCACUGCCUGUUGGGAGUCCGCGCUCCCAGCGGUGACCCGGCCAGCCCCUCCGGGCCUCAGUUGCCUGCUGGGUGGAAAAACUCACCGGACAGGGCAGGAAGCCAGUCCUCUUGCCAAACCCUGAUCCUUUCCUGGACUGGUCAAGGAAGUUGGCGGGAGUCCUGGCCUGCUCCGGUGCCCGGAGCAGUACCCAAGCUGACUCGGGUUCCAGUGACGAUGAGGCAGCCAGUGAGGCCCGCAGCACCGCCAGUGAAUGCCCCAGCCUUCUCAGCACCACUGCAGAGGAUAGCCUUGGGGGGGAUGUCGUGGAUGAGCAGGGCCAGCAGGAAGACCUUGAGGAAAAGCUGAAGGAGUAUGUGGACUGUCUCACAGACAAGAGUGCCAAGACCCGGCAGGGUGCUCUUGAGAGCCUGCGCCUGGCCCUAGCGUCCCGCCUGCUCCCUGACUUCUUGCUGGAGCGCCGCCUCACGCUAGCCGAUGCCCUGGAAAAGUGCCUCAAGAAAGGGAAGGGUGAGGAACAAGCCCUGGCUGCUGCUGUGCUAGGCCUGCUCUGCGUGCAGCUGGGCCCUGGACCUAAGGGUGAGG
rnacentral:sRNA from 1 species